GGCUGUUUGUAAAGGUCCAGUUUUGUUUAUUGAUCCAAGCCUGAACAGCUACGCAUAGUGUCCAGUAGAGGGCUCUGUCGCUUAGUUAGCGGCAAGCUGCACUUCCAGCUCAGACCGGUUUUUGUGGCGCACAUGUGCCAGUAGGCAGCUCUCAAUGAAGCAUGAAGCAGCGUGAUACCGGACUCUAGCGAAAUUAACAAUUUGCAGCCCUUGGAAUGCGGAGCGAGUUUUGCUCAAGGCUUGUUCAUUUUUAAGGGCUUUGCACCAGCAGUGGUAGUGAACAAGGUGGUAGUGAACUCUGGGAGUUUCACACUUUCUACAUCAUUAAAUCUGUGGACAAAGAGUAAUGGUUUUCAGAGUCUUGAUGGAAGAAAAGUGUUGAACCUUGCUGCCUGUUUCUCUCCUGCGCAGUGUGAAGAGGGAAAGACAGUACACCCUCAUGUUCAUCAGUUCUCUGCUCACUUGUCUUUUAUCUUUCCAGUGUCAUGCUUUCUUUUCCUGUCACCUUUAUAUCCUUGCAUUAUU